AAAACAUGUCUUUUUGAUAWAAAUUUAAAGUCAGGUCUGCUCACUGAAUUAUUUUAAAGAGCCGCAGUAUAUUGACUGUGCAAAGGUAGCAUAAUCAAUAGUUUUUUAAUUGGAAACUAGAAUGAAAGAUUAGACGAAAAAUUAAUUUUCUUUGUUUUAAUAAAUUUAAUUUUAAAUUUAAGUGAAAAUGCUUAAAUAAAAUUAAAAGACGAGAAGACCCUAUAGAUUUUUAUUAUUGAAAUAAAUUUUUAAAUUUAAUUUAAUAAAAUAAUUUAAUUGGGGCGAUUUUAUAAUAUAAAUAACUUAAUUUUUUAAAACCAUAAAUAAUUGAAUAUUUGAUCUAAAAUUUUUAAAGAAAAGAUUAAAUUACCUUAGGGAUAACAGCGUAAUUUUAUUUAAGAGUUCAUAUCUAUAAUAAAGUUUGCGACCUCGAUGUUGAAUUAAGAUAAUAUAUUGGAGUAGAAAUUAAUAUAAUUAGUCUGUUCGACUAUUAAAUUCUUACGUGAUCUG
rnacentral:rRNA from 1 species